CCAAAUCUUUCCUUCCUACUCCCUAUUCUCUUUUCUUAUUUAUCCAAUUUCAUCUAUUUAAGGCCAUUUCUCUUCUGCCCUUGUCUGGAUGUGGUUUUAGUUUCUAUCACCUGUGUUUAGAAACCUGGGAGAUCCAGGUGGCUCAGUUUUCAGGCUGACAAUGCUUAGUCUAUAUUUUAAUUGCAGUUAUAAUUAAUUAUGACUGUGACAGUGGCAGGUGUGACAUUCAGGAGAAAAUGAAUAGAAAUGAUUUAACAAACAUAUUUCAACACCCAUGAGAGGUAUUUCCAUUACUUAAUUAGACAGAAAGACUCUUACUCGGAAGUUUAAGGGAAGCAGGCACAGAACAAUGCAUUGUGAAACUGGCGUGCUUGUUUCAGGUUCUUUAUGAGAAUUUCUCCUCUGUUUGCAUGCCCUUCCACCAAGGCACAAAGCGUGAGCCCUCUUUUGCAAGUGAGGUUAACGAGCCUUGGUGAGAUUAAGUGAUCUGAUUCAGGUGGGUCUGCAAGGAGGCAGGGCCGGGUGUGGACCGAGGCUUCUCUGCUGGUUCAGCAGCCACUCCACAGGCCCGUGCAGUCUGGUUCCUUUGCUUUUGGUGUCAUAAGAUCUAAUGAACCAGACAAUCCAGACCUGAAGAUUAACAUCUUCCUGUGGAAAGGAGACCUUCCUUAUUGCCAAUAACCAGGCCAAGAUAUUUCUUUAAGAAACAUCAGCUUGAAGAGAAAGAUCAUCCACCUCACCUCCGUUUAGCAGGGUGUCUGACAGGAGUAAAGAUGGGUCCCAGCACGCCCUGUGCUGCGUCUCUGUGAUCCCCCAAAUGUGCUGGUGGUUUCGCACAGGAUUCUGUGAAUUCUCCUUGGGUGCUGGAGAGAGGAGCAGGUCCCACUGGUCUACCCCUCGCAAAGUGGCUGAAUCACAAAUGUGGACACGGGGACGGAGAGAAGACGAUCUGGCUCUCAGAGACAUCCAACUCAAGUGACAUUUGAUACAAUUAAUUCAUAGGCAGUUGGGGUGCAAGGAUGAAUCGAAGGCAGAGACGACCUUCCAGAACUCUCUCUUCUCCUUCCAAAGUCUGGUUUCCAUUCUCCUGGACCAGGUGCUUGUCUCUGUUAAAAUAAGACUGUAGACUAGCCCACCAUUCAGUCUUGUAGUU
rnacentral:lncRNA from 1 species